GAUGAACGCUAGCUACAGGCUUAACACAUGCAAGUCGAGGGGAAACGGCAUUGAGUGCUUGCACUCUUUGGACGUCGACCGGCGCACGGGUGAGUAACGCGUAUCCAACCUUCCCAUUACUGUGGGAUAACCUGCCGAAAGGCAGACUAAUACCGCAUAGUCUUCGAUGACGGCAUCAGAUUUGAAGUAAAGAUUUAUCGGUAAUGGAUGGGGAUGCGUCUGAUUAGCUUGUCGGCGGGGUAACGGCCCACCAAGGCUACGAUCAGUAGGGGUUCUGAGAGGAAGGUCCCCCACAUUGGAACUGAGACACGGUCCAAACUCCUACGGGAGGCAGCAGUGAGGAAUAUUGGUCACUGGACGGAAGUCUGAACCAGCCAAGUAGCGUGCAGGAUGACGGCCCUAUGGGUUGUAAACUGCUUUUGGAUGGGGAUAAAGUUAGGGACGUGUCCCUAUUUGCAGGUACCAUACGAAUAAGGACCGGCUAAUUCCGUG
rnacentral:rRNA from 1 species